rnacentral:lncRNA from 1 species
AAGCCAGACAUUAAAGGGAUUUGCAAAAAUGAAAAACAAUGGUACUUUUCUCACUAUUUUUUUUCGUUUUGGAAAAUACAGUUAUUUUCACAGAAAUGUUGUUUAUGUUAACAUUCAAUAGGUUUAUUAUUGUUAUUUUUACCCUAACAAAGCCAAAAAAUUUAAAGUCCUCAGUCUUAACUUCUAAUAUUGAAUCUUCCGACUGUGGAAGAACAAAGAAGUAAUGAUAUUAAUAAUGAACCACACCAGGAAUAGCUUCUGAUAUUAAGUGGAAACCAGAACGUGGGACAUCUUUUGAUACUGUUUAAACACCCACUAAGCGGAUUUCAGGACCUACUAAUGAAGGCAUUGCCCAAGGUCACACAGCGAGCCAGAGGUGAAAGGGAAGCCAGAAGCAGAUGUCGCGGCCUCUAGUCCAUCCGGGCGCUCUCCCUGCCCUGUCCCCGGGCCGAGUCCAGUUUAGGCUGGGUGACUGCUCAUCCCAGAGAGCGCAGCCCAGGAAACAGUGGGAGGUGGAGGACGUGGAGCUUGGAUGGGGCCGGGAAUCCCCCAGGCUUGAGCGGGAUGGGCCACAGCCCUCUUUUCCCCCCACUGGUGAAACCCUGCUGAGGAAUUAAGUCAAUAUACAGAAAAUCACAGCCAAGAGCUGGAGAGAGAAAGAGAGCUCUGACAUCAUCAUUGAGCACCUGGAUCCAGCCAUACCUGAAGCCAGUGCCUCUACAGUGUUUACAUACGU